rnacentral:rRNA from 1 species
AACGAACGCUGGCGGCAUGCCUAACACAUGCAAGUCGAACGAGACCUUCGGGUCUAGUGGCGUACGGGUGCGUAACGCGUGGGAACCUGCCUUUAGGUUCGGAAUAACUCAGAGAAAUUUGAGCUAAUACCGGAUGAUGUCUUCGGACCAAAGAUUUAUCGCCUUUAGAUGGGCCCGCGUUGGAUUAGCUAGUUGGUGGGGUAAAGGCCUACCAAGGCGACGAUCCAUAGCUGGUCUGAGAGGAUGAUCAGCCACACUGGGACUGAGACACGGCCCAGACUCCUACGGGAGGCAGCAGUGGGGAAUAUUGGACAAUGGGCGAAAGCCUGAUCCAGCAAUGACGCGUGAGUGAUGAAGGCCUUAGGGUUGUAAAGCUCUUUUACCCGAGAUGAUAAUGACAGUAUCGGGAGAAUAAGCUCCGGCUAACUCCGUG